rnacentral:tRNA from 1 species
GUUCUAGGCAGCUGGCUUUGGCAUGCAGUGAGCACGCUCUGAGCCCGCCGAGCUGGGGGAGUGUUCCGGCGGCGUGCAUUUCGUCGCCGAGGGUG